rnacentral:lncRNA from 1 species
CAGAUCUAAUAUGCCCUAAAUGAACAAAAGUAACAUUGACAAAUUUACGCUCCCUUAGUUUUAUUUAUUUUGGUUUGUGACUUGGUGAAACUAAGUCUCUGCGCAUGAAUGUUCCAAAUUAGAAAAAAUAGAAAAUAACAAUUAUAUCACCUAGCUCUUUGUGUUGUUUUAAGAAUUAGAUGUUAUGUAAAGUAUGCUGCUGUGUCUAACCAGAGGAAAUGCUAAAUACAUACUGAGCAGGAGCCUAAAUUGUCAUGGUUAAUAUUGAAAUUAUACUACUUUUACUUUUUUAUUAUUUAUGUCAAAUCUUUUUCAUAUCUUUUUACAGUGAAGAAAGUAAGAUUUCUGACAGACAAAAGAUGACAAGUGACUUCCAGUUUCUGCUAGAGCACGCAGAGCUGGAAAGAGUGUCAUCUCAAACCUACACACUGCCCAACAAUAAGUCUGUGUCUUUUCUUGAACUUAUUUGCAUUCUGAAAUUGGAAUGCCACCAACUUGCCCCAAAUCAAAGAAAAGACUGGUGUCUGCAGGGAGAAACAAGACAGGAGGAGAAUGCUGGCUUACUUGGGCCCAGAGAAAAGCCAUUCCCACACUUCAUAGGGCAGAAGUUCCCAACAGAUCAGAUGCCCAAGAAUCUGGGACCCAAUGUCCUGUUAGAACUUUAGACGUUUGCAAAGCACUGUGACCCACUGAUGAAGGUCAUCAUAUCUUGGUGUCCAUUAAGGUAUGACCAACACACAGACCCAAAGAAAGAGAGCUGUCCAACUCCACAGGGCCAGCAGUUUAUGUGUUUUUCUCUAAUGUGAAUUUGCUGUUUGCUCAUCAAUUUUGUUUUUGGUAAAAGCACAAUAAAAGAAAGGUGAGAGUAGAUAACA